UCGGGAAUUAGCUCAGUUUGGUAGAGCGCUACGUUCGGGACGUAGAGGUCACAGGUUCAAAUCCUGCAUUCCCGAU
rnacentral:tRNA from 6 species